AGGUAAGCUACUAAGAGCGAAUGGUGGAUGCCUUGACUGGUAAAGGCGAUGAAGGACGUACUAGACUGCGAUAAGCUACGGGGAGCUGUCAAGAAGCUUUGAUCCGUAGAUUUCCGAAUGGGGCAACCCAAUGUAUAGAGAUAUACAUUACCUAUAUAGGAGCGAACGAGGGGAAUUGAAACAUCUUAGUACCCUCAGGAAAAGAAAUCAAUAGAGAUUGCGUCAGUAGCGGCGAGCGAAAGCGCAAGAGGGCAAACCCAGUGCUUGCACUGGGGGUUGUAGGACUGCAAUGUGCAAGAGCUGAGUUUAGCAGAACAUUCUGGAAAGUAUAGCCAUAGAGGGUGAUAGUCCCGUAUGCGAAAAACAAAGCUUAGCUAGCAGUAUCCUGAGUAGGGCGGGACACGAGGAAUCCUGUCUGAAUCCGGGUCGACCACGAUCCAACCCUAAAUACUAAUACCAGAUCGAUAGUGCACAAGUACCGUGAGGGAAAGGUGAAAAGAACUGAGGUGAUCAGAGUGAAAUAGAACCUGAAACCAUUUGCUUACAAUCAUUCAGAGCACUAUGUAGCAAUACAGUGUGAUGGACUGCCUUUUGCAUAAUGAGCCUGCGAGUUGUGGUGUCUGGCAAGGUUAAGCAAACGCGAAGCCGUAGCGAAAGCGAGUCUGAAUAGGGCGCUUAGUCAGAUGCUGCAGACCCGAAACGAAGUGAUCUAUCCAUGAGCAAGUUGAAGCUAGUGUAAGAACUAGUGGAGGACUGAACCCAUAGGCGUUGAAAAGCCCCGGGAUGACUUGUGGAUAGGGGUGAAAGGCCAAUCAAACUUCGUGAUAGCUGGUUCUCUCCGAAAUAUAUUUAGGUAUAGCGUUGUGUCGUAAUAUAAGGGGGUAGAGCACUGAAUGGGCUAGGGCAUACACCAAUGUACCAAACCCUAUCAAACUCCGAAUACCUUAUAUGUAAUCACAGCAGUCAGGCGGCGAGUGAUAAAAUCCGUCGUCAAGAGGGAAACAACCCAGACUACCAGCUAAGGUCCCUAAAUCUUACUUAAGUGGAAAACGAUGUGAAGUUACUUAAACAACCAGGAGGUUGGCUUAGAAGCAGCCAUCCUUUAAAGAAAGCGUAAUAGCUCACUGGUCUAGUGAUUUUGCGCGGAAAAUAUAACGGGGCUAAAGUAAGUACCGAAGCUGUAGACUUGCACACAACUUAGAUUAUUUAAGUUUAGAAUAUGAGAAACUAAGUUAUAUGUUUAGUUAUAUUUUUACUGAUUUUUAUAGAGUAAAGAUAGAAAUAAAACUUAGUAAAAUCAGUAAAAAUAUUCUUAGGCUAAAGUUAAGUAGUUUAAGUUGUGUGCAAGUGGUAGGAGAGCGUUCUAUUUGCGUCGAAGGUAUACCGGUAAGGAGUGCUGGAGCGAAUAGAAGUGAGCAUGCAGGCAUGAGUAGCGAUAAUUAAUGUGAGAAUCAUUAACGCCGUAAACCCAAGGUUUCCUACGCGAUGCUCGUCAUCGUAGGGUUAGUCGGGUCCUAAGUCGAGUCCGAAAGGGGUAGACGAUGGCAAAUUGGUUAAUAUUCCAAUACCAACAUUAGUGUGCGAUGGAAGGACGCUUAGGGCUAAGGGGGCUAGCGGAUGGAAGUGCUAGUCUAAGGUUGUAGGAGGUUAUACAGGCAAAUCCGUAUAACAAUACUCCGAGAACUGAAAGGCUUUUUGAAGUCUUCGGAUGGAUAGAAGAACCCCUGAUGCCGUCGAGCCAAGAAAAGUUUCUAAGUUUAGCUAAUGUUGCCCGUACCGUAAACCGACACAGGUGGGUGGGAUGAGUAUUCUAAGGCGCGUGGAAGAACUCUCUUUAAGGAACUCUGCAAAAUAGCACCGUAUCUUCGGUAUAAGGUGUGCCUCCCUUUGUAUUAGAAUUCACUUCGAAAGCAAAGAAGGUUACAACAAAGAGUCCCUCCCGACUGUUUACCAAAAACACAGCACUCUGCUAACUCGUAAGAGGAUGUAUAGGGUGUGACGCCUGCCCGGUGCUCGAAGGUUAAUUGAUGGGGUUAGCAUUAGCGAAGCUCUUGAUCGAAGCCCGAGUAAACGGCGGCCGUAACUAUAACGGUCCUAAGGUAGCGAAAUUCCUUGUCGGUUAAAUACCGACCUGCAUGAAUGGCGUAACGAGAUGGGAGCUGUCUCAAAGAGGGAUCCAGUGAAAUUGUAGUGGAGGUGAAAAUUCCUCCUACCCGCGGCAAGACGGAAAGACCCCGUGGACCUUUACUACAGCUUGACACUGCUAUUUGGAUAAGAAUGUGCAGGAUAGGUGGGAGGCUUUGAGUAUAUGACGCCAGUUGUAUAUGAGCCAUUGUUGAGAUACCACUCUUUCUUAUUUGGGUAGCUAACCAGCUUGAGUUAUCCUCAAGUGGGACAAUGUCUGGUGGGUAGUUUGACUGGGGCGGUCGCCUCCCAAAUAAUAACGGAGGCUUACAAAGGUUGGCUCAGAACGGUUGGAAAUCGUUCGUAGAGUAUAAAGGUAUAAGCCAGCUUAACUGCAAGACAUACAAGUCAAGCAGAGACGAAAGUCGGUCUUAGUGAUCCGGUGGUUCUGUGUGGAAGGGCCAUCGCUCAAAGGAUAAAAGGUACCCCGGGGAUAACAGGCUGAUCUCCCCCAAGAGCUCACAUCGACGGGGAGGUUUGGCACCUCGAUGUCGGCUCAUCGCAUCCUGGGGCUGGAGCAGGUCCCAAGGGUAUGGCUGUUCGCCAUUUAAAGCGGUACGCGAGCUGGGUUCAGAACGUCGUGAGACAGUUCGGUCCCUAUCUGCCGUGGGCGUAAGAAGAUUGAAGAGAUUUGACCCUAGUACGAGAGGACCGGGUUGAACAAACCACUGGUGUAGCUGUUGUUCUGCCAAGAGCAUCGCAGCGUAGCUAAGUUUGGAAAGGAUAAACGCUGAAAGCAUCUAAGCGUGAAGCCAACUCUAAGAUGAAUCUUCUCUAAGCUCUCUAGAAGACUACUAGUUUGAUAGGCUGGGUGUGUAAUGGAUGAAAGUCCUUUAGCUGACCAGUACUAAUAGAGCGUUUGGCUUAUCUUU
rnacentral:rRNA from 1 species